rnacentral:rRNA from 1 species
UGAAGCUGGAUUCGCUAGUAAUCGCGCAUCAGCCACGGCGCGGUGAAUACGUUCCCGGGCCUUGUACACACCGCCCGUCAAGCCAUGGAAGCCGGGGGUGCCUGAAGUGCGCUGCCGCGAGGAGCGCCCUAGGGUAAAACCGGUGACUGGGGCUAAGUCGUAACAAGGUAGC